ensembl:snRNA U4 U4 spliceosomal RNA
AGCUUUGUGCAGUGGCAAUAUCGUAGCCAAUGAGGUUUAUCUGAGGUGUGAUUAUUGCUAAUUGAAACAGAUUCAUAGUGCACAGAGAGUGGGAUUUGUGGUUAGCUACAUCUAGA